UAAGUGAAAGUGAAAGUUUGAGGCUCAACCUCGAAACUGCUUUUUCAAACUACUAAACUUGAGUAUGUGAGAGGUAAUUGGAAUUCCUAGUGUAGGAGUGAAAUCCGUAGAUAUUAGGAGGAACACCAAUGGCGAAGGCAGAUUACUGGCACAUUACUGACGCUAAGGCACGAAAGCGUGGGGAGCGAACUGGAUUAGAUACCCAGGUAGUCCAUGCCGUAAACUAUGGAUGCUA
rnacentral:rRNA from 1 species